GUUUUAUUCCAAUACUGAAGUUCAGUGGUUGUUGUUGGUUCAUGCCUGUCAUAUUUGUUUUUUGUUUUCUGUUUUGUUAUAAAUAAGGUCAUUAUUCUCAAUUGAAUUGUUUCAAAUUUUUCAUGUCAGGGUUGUUUGUAGCUGACUUUAUAAGGUGUUUUUUUUUCAUUGUUAAAGGCUUUAUGGUUGCCUAUAAUUGCUCAAGUCCACUUCAUUUAAUCUUUGUUGGAAAUUUGUCGCAUUGCCUUCUUUUAGGUGCCUCAGUGACCAAGUGUUCUUAGUAGUUCAUAGUGUAAUCACUAGCCAGUCAGCACUGAGAUUGUGAGUUC
rnacentral:lncRNA from 1 species